rnacentral:rRNA from 1 species
UCGAUUUGGAGUUUGUUGCCUAGAGUGAUGGGCUCCGAAGCUAACGCGAUAAAUCGACCGCCUGGGGAGUACGGCCGCAAGGUUAAAACUCAAAUGAAUUGACGGGGGCCCGCACAAGCGGUGGAGCAUGUGGUUUAAUUCGAUGCAACGCGAAGAACCUUACCUGGUCUUGACAUCCACAGAAUCUUGCAGAGAUGUAAGAGUGCCUUCGGGAACUGUGAGACAGGUGCUGCAUGGCUGUCGUCAGCUCGUGUUGUGAAAUGUUGGGUUAAGUCCCGCAACGAGCGCAACCCUUAUCCUUUGUUGCCAUCGGUUCGGCCGGGAACUCAAAGGAGACUGCCGUUGAUAAAGCGGAGGAAGGUGGGGACGACGUCAAGUCAUCAUGGCCCUUACGACCAGGGCUACACACGUGCUACAAUGGCGUAUACAAAGGGAGGCGACCUCGCGAGAGCAAGCGGACCUCAUAAAGUACGUCUAAGUCCGGAUUGGAGUCUGCAACUCGACUCCAUGAAGUCGGAAUCGCUAGUAAUCGUGAAUCAGAAUGUCACGGUGAAUACGUUCCCGGGCCU